GAUGAACGCUGGCGGCGUGCCUAAUACAUGCAAGUCGAGCGAAUGGAUUAAGAGCUUGCUCUUAUGAAGUUAGCGGCGGACGGGUGAGUAACACGUGGGUAACCUGCCCAUAAGACUGGGAUAACUCCGGGAAACCGGGGCUAAUACCGGAUAACAUUUUGAACCGCAUGGUUCGAAAUUGAAAGGCGGCCUCGGCUGCUCCUUAUGGAUGGACCCGCGUCGCAUUAGCUAGUUGGUGAGGUAACGGCUAACCAAGGCAACGAUGCGUAGCCGACCUGAGAGGGUGAUCGGCCACACUGGGACUGAGACACGGCCCAGACUCCUACGGGAGGCAGCAGUAGGGAAUCUUCCGCAAUGGACGAAAGUCUGACGGAGCAACGUCGCGUGAGUGAUGAAGGCUUUCGGGUCGUAAAACUCUGUUGUUAGGGAAGAACAAGUGCUAGUUGAAUAAGCUGGCACCUUGACGGUACCUAACCAGAAAGCCACGGCUAACUACGUGCCAGCCGCCGCGGUAA
rnacentral:rRNA from 1 species